rnacentral:ncRNA from 1 species
GCCCUGACUGUAUGUAGGGCUCACUCUGGCAAAGACCAGGGCUGGGGAACAGGUCGUCCUCGGCAAAUUAUUCAUCAGGGCGCAUGACCCUCGCCCCGACUCCU